GUGUCUAGAUUCCGUGAGCCUCCCCAAUAGAACAGUAGAUCAUCCUUACCAAGGUUAGAAUGAGACUACGGUUGCAGUCUUCUCUAUACAUCGCUCACAUCGAGAAACAUUCUUUGUAGCCUAAAGGGUAGUAGCAAUAGAUUUGGUUAGUCAGAUGCACGCUUUCUCCCAGUGGUAAACAUAUAAAUACGAUACUCUGGAUAACCUCUCGGGUGAAGUGCUCCCCGAUAUCCGUGCGCUUGCGGAUCAUUUCCUGAUGGCGUUACUAAAUAUCAACAAGCAUUUCUGGCGCCGUUGCCGGGGAGAAAGAAGGUUUGCUGAGAUAACUUUAAGUCUAGCUAUUAUCUUGUAUUAUACUUUUAUUCUUUUAUCUUUUUAUUUUUUUCCAUCUUUAUGGAUAACUCAAAUUCCACACCUAUUAUUGAAUUUUUUUGCCUUCGGAGACCAGCCAUAGACCAUGGGAGUCAAUAAGUCCUUUCUUUACCCCUAAUUAUGAUUUGUGUCCGGAGUUGAUUGCAAUAGGUCAAAACCAACUCUUUCCUAUAGCUGAGGUCCUAUCUUUUAAUCAAGAAGAUAAUGAACUUUUAGCUACACUAGGGCAAUCUUUUAAUCUUUCUAUAAAUUCUGGUUUAAACCUAGCCCUACAAGACCAUGUUUUUUCUCGAUUUUUUCACAUUGGUCUUAAUCAUAUAACCUUUGGUAGAGUUUUUGUUUUUUUAUCUGUUAGUAAAGUAAGAUAUGUCUUCAUUCAUAGACAUCCUUCUUGCACUAUUCUUCAUAAAAAAUCCUAGAGAUAGAGAAGGAAUCAUCUCCCAGACGAGAAAAGGAAGUUUCAAUAGCCGAUUUCCAUACAUUUCAAUCCCAUGAUUUGGCUAUCCAACCCAUCCUUGAGCUUAAUAAUUUCUACUAUGCUCUUUCUCUUGAACCUCCUAAUGAUCCUAUGAAUCUCUCUAGACAUCCCAUGCAUUAGAGUCACCAAGACCACAAGGAGGAUCGAGAAGAGCAACAUCAAUGGCUAGAGGGCUGUUGACGGUC
rnacentral:lncRNA from 1 species